UAUAACGGGACUACGACAAUAAUGUAAGUGAUUAGGGAUGAAUCGAAAGCUUGCUUUUGAUUCGUUAGCGGCGGACGGGUGAGUAACACGUGGGCAACCUGCCCUGUAGACGGGGAUAACACCGAGAAAUCGGUGCUAAUACCGGAUAACACGAAAUGUCGCAUGACGUUUCGUUGAAAGACGGCGCAAGCUGUCGCUACAGGAUGGGCCCGCGGCGCAUUAGCUAGUUGGUGAGGUAACGGCUCACCAAGGCGACGAUGCGUAGCCGACCUGAGAGGGUGAUCGGCCACACUGGGACUGAGACACGGCCCAGACUCCUACGGGAGGCAGCAGUAGGGAAUCUUCCGCAAUGGACGAAAGUCUGACGGAGCAACGCCGCGUGAGCGAAGAAGGCCUUCGGGUCGUAAAGCUCUGUUGUUAGGGAAGAACAAGUAACGCAGUAACUGGCGUUACCGUGACGGUACCUAACGAGAAAGCCACGGCUAACUACGUGCCAGCAGCCGCGGUAAUACGUAGGUGGCAAGCGUUGUCCGGAAUUAUUGGGCGUAAAGCGCGCGCAGGCGGUUCCUUAAGUCUGAUGUGAAAGCCCACGGCUCAACCGUGGAGGGUCAUUGGAAACUGGGGGACUUGAGUGCAGAAGAGGAUAGCGGAAUUCCUGGGG
rnacentral:rRNA from 1 species